rnacentral:misc_RNA from 1 species
UUGAUUCAUUUUAGUUUUACUCAGACACUACUGUUUGAACAAGAGUUUCGGGUCCUCUGGCGGGCGCUCUCCAGCCGGAGCCGGCGGCGCGAGGCACCGGCCCGCCAAAGCAACAGUUGUGGUAUACAAAGGGUGGGAGUCGGGGCCCGGAGGCCCCAGAGCUCGGUAAUGAUCCUUCCGCAGGUUCACCUACGGAAA